rnacentral:rRNA from 1 species
UACGUAUGUCGCAAGCGUUAUCCGGAAUUAUUGGGCAUAAAGGGCAUCUAGGCGGCCCUGUAAGUCUAGGGUGAAAACCUGCGGCUCAACCGCAGGCCUGCCCCGGAAACUACAGGGCUAGAGUAUCGGAGAGGUGGACGGAACUGCACGAGUAGAGGUGAAAUUCGUAGAUAUGUGCAGGAAUGCCGAUGAUGAAGAUAGUUCACUGGACGGUAACUGACGCUGAAGUG